UAUUUUAAUAGCUUAUAAAGAGCGUGAUAUUGAAGAUAUUAAGGAAGUAAUUUUUACUUUAAAAUAU
rnacentral:tRNA from 1 species